rnacentral:piRNA from 1 species
UGGUUUCUUUUAUUGGGUGAACCAAUGA